UGAACGCUGGCGGCGUGCUUAACACAUGCAAGUCGAGCGAAGCAAUUUAAGUGAAGUUUUCGGAUGGAUCUUAAAUUGACUGAGCGGCGGACGGGUGAGUAACGCGUGGAUAACCUGCCUCACACAGGGGGAUAACAGUUAGAAAUGACUGCUAAUACCGCAUAAGCGCACGGUACCGCAUGGUACAGUGUGAAAAACUCCGGUGGUGUGAGAUGGAUCCGCGUCUGAUUAGGUAGUUGGUGAGGUAACGGCCCACCAAGCCGACGAUCAGUAGCCGACCUGAGAGGGUGACCGGCCACAUUGGGACUGAGACACGGCCCAAACUCCUACGGGAGGCAGCAGUGGGGAAUAUUGCACAAUGGGCGAAAGCCUGAUGCAGCAACGCCGCGUGAGUGAAGAAGUAUCUCGGUAUGUAAAGCUCUAUCAGCAGGGAAGAAAAUGACGGUACCUGACUAAGAAGCCCCGGCUAACUACGUG
rnacentral:rRNA from 1 species